rnacentral:rRNA from 1 species
UGGGGAAUAUUGGACAAUGGGCGAAAGCCUGAUCCAGCCAUGCCGCGUGUGUGAAGAAGGUCUUCGGAUUGUAAAGCACUUUAAGUUGGGAGGAAGGGCAUUAACCUAAUACGUUAGUGUUUUGACGUUACCGACAGAAUAAGCACCGGCUAACUCUGUGCCAGCAGCCGCGGUAAUACAGAGGGUGCAAGCGUUAAUCGGAAUUACUGGGCGUAAAGCGCGCGUAGGUGGUUUGUUAAGUUGGAGGUGAAAUCCCCGGGCUCAACCUGGGAACUGCAUUCAAAACUGACUGACUAGAGUAUGGUAGAGGGUGGUGGAAUUUCCUGUGUAGCGGUGAAAUGUGUAGAUAUAGGAAGGAACACCAGUGGCGAAGGCGACCACCUGGACUAAUACUGACACUGAGGUGCGAAAGCGUGGGGAGCAAACA